GACGAACCGUGCGAACGUUAUUCGGAAUCACUGGGCUUAAAGCGCGUGUAGGCGGGCCGGCACGUCGGCUGCUGAAAUCCCCCGGCUCAACCGGGGAACGGGCACCGAUACGACCGGCCUGGAGGGGGGUAGGGGGGACGGGAACUUCCGGUGGAGCGGUGAAAUGCGUUGAGAUCGGAAGGAACGCCCGCGGCGAAAGCGCGUCCCUGGACCCCACCUGACGCUGAGACGCGAAAGCCAGGGGAGCGAACGGG
rnacentral:rRNA from 1 species